rnacentral:rRNA from 1 species
UACGUAGGGUGCAAGCGUUAAUCGGAAUACUGGCGUAAAGCGUGCGCAGGCGGUUUUGUAAGUCUGUCGUGAAAUCCCCGGGCUCAACCUGGGAAUUGCGAUGGAGACUGCAAGGCUAGAAUCUGGCAGAGGGGGGUAGAAUUCCACGUGUAGCAGUGAAAUGCGUAGAGAUGUGGAGGAACACCGAUGGCGAAGGCAGCCCCCUGGGUCAAGAUUGACGCUCAUGCACGAAAGCGUGGGGAGCAAACGA